AGUGAACGCUGGCGGUAGGCCUAACACAUGCAAGUCGAACGGCAGCACAGGAGAGCUUGCUCUCCGGGUGGCGAGUGGCGGACGGGUGAGGAAUACAUCGGAAUCUACUCUGUCGUGGGGGAUAACGUAGGGAAACUUACGCUAAUACCGCAUACGACCUACGGGUGAAAGCAGGGGACCGUCGGUCCUUGCGCGAUUGAAUGAGCCGAUGUCGGAUUAGCAAGUUGGCGGGGUAAAGGCCCACCAAGGCGACGAUCCGUAGGUGGUCUGAGAGGAUGAUCAGCCACACUGGAACUGAGACACGGUCCAGACUCCUACGGGAGGCAGCAGUGGGGAAUAUUGGACAAUGGGCGCAAGCCUGAUCCAGCCAUACCGCGUGGGUGAAGAAGGCCUUCGGGUUGUAAAGCCCUUUUGUUGGGAAAGAAAUCCAGCUGGCUAAUACCCGGUUGGGAUGACGGUACCCAAAGAAUAAGCACCGGCUAACUUCGUGCCAGCCGCCGCGGUAA
rnacentral:rRNA from 1 species